UCCAGAUGUAGGAGAAAUAUGGUCAGGCGCGUGCCGCAAGAACAGAGUGGACGGAGAGUAGGAGAGACCGAAAAGGCUGGGGGUGGGAAUAGCGGAUUUGAAGCACUUUUUGGCCUACCGUGGCAAACAGAGUGCCUCCGAACUCAGGCGUACUGCCCGCCGCCCCGAGCCCUGCGAGGGCCGAUAGCGAGGGUGUGGCCCUUAUCUGCACCCAGCGGAGCGCCGGCGGGGUACGGUCUUAGGACCUCGACCUCCUUCUGCCUCAUUUUUUCUCCUCUCUUGUGGGUUUCCCCAUGGGCCGGACCGUGGUCGUGUUGGGCGGAGGCAUCAGCGGCUUGGCCGCCAGUUACCACCUGAGCCGGGCCCCGUGUCCCCCUAAGGUGGUCCUGGUGGAGGGCAGUGAGCGUCUGGGAGGCUGGAUUCGCUCUGUUCGAGGCCCGAAUGGUGCUAUCUUUGAGCUUGGACCUCGGGGAAUUAGGCCAGCGGGAGCCCUAGGGGCCCGGACCUUGCUCCUGGUUUCUGAGCUUGGCUUGGAUUCAGAAGUGCUGCCUGUCCGGGGAGACCACCCAGCUGCCCAGAACAGGUUCCUCUACGUGGGCGGUGCCCUGCAUGCCCUGCCCACUGGCCUCAGGGGGCUACUCCGCCCUUCACCCCCCUUCUCCAAACCUCUGUUUUGGGCUGGGCUGAGGGAGCUGACCAAGCCCCGGGGCAAAGAGCCUGAUGAGACCGUGCACAGUUUUGCCCAGCGCCGCCUUGGACCUGAGGUGGCGUCUCUAGCCAUGGACAGUCUCUGCCGUGGAGUGUUUGCAGGCAACAGCCGUGAGCUCAGCAUCAGGUCCUGUUUUCCCAGUCUCUUCCAAGCUGAGCAAACCCAUCGUUCCGUAUUACUGGGCCUGCUGCUGGGGGCAGGGCGGACCCCACAGCCAGACUCAGCACUCAUUCGCCAGGCCUUGGCUGAGCGCUGGAGCCAGUGGUCACUUCGUGGAGGUCUAGAGAUGCUGCCUCAGGCCCUUGAAACCCACCUAACUAGUAGGGGGGUCAGUGUUCUCAGAGGUCAGCCAGUCUGUGGGCUCAGCCUCCAGGCAGAAGGGCGCUGGAAGGUAUCUCUAAGGGACAGCAGUCUGGAGGCUGACCACGUUAUUAGUGCCAUUCCAGCUUCAGUGCUUAGCGAGCUGCUCCCUGCUGAGGCUGCACCUCUGGCUCGUGCCCUGAGUGCCAUCACUGCGGUGUCUGUAGCUGUGGUGAAUCUGCAGUACCAAGGAGCCCAUCUGCCUGUCCAGGGAUUUGGACACUUGGUGCCAUCUUCAGAAGAUCCAGGCGUCCUGGGAAUCGUGUAUGACUCAGUUGCUUUCCCUGAGCAGGAUGGGAGCCCCCCUGGCCUCAGAGUGACUGUGAUGCUGGGAGGUUCCUGGUUACAGACACUGGAGGCGAGUGGCUGUGUCUUAUCUCAGGAGCUGUUUCAACAGCGGGCCCAGGAAGCAGCUGCCACACAAUUAGGACUGAAGGAGCUGCCAAGUCACUGCUUGGUCCAUCUACACAAGAACUGCAUCCCCCAGUAUACACUAGGUCACUGGCAAAAACUAGCCUGGAAGAUAAUGGAGGGGGACCAGACUAUGUCUGUAGUGGCAUAAAGAAGACGGGGCUAAAGAACAAAAGUGAAGGCCAGGCACAGUGGCUCAUGCCUGUAAUCCCAGCACUUUGGGAGGCCAAGGCCAAGAACCUGUUCAAGUGGCAACAGAGUCAUGACAGGACCGUGGAGUGACCUAAGGAGUACUCAGGGCGAAGUAGGAAACAGGCUCCUUCUGUUCUUCAUGUGCCUAGGUGCGAACUCCUCAGGUGCAGGGACCGUGACCACCUGGGGGCUGUAAGUGAACAGCCCCGAAGCUCGGCGGAAAGUAGGGUGGGGGUGGCGUCCUCCACCUUUUUUACCUUUCCCCUGUUCUAGCGGGGGUGGGGAGGAGGGUUACAGCUGAAGAGAAGGGGUGAGGGAGAGCAGGGGCAGAGACAGUCAGGGGUGGCUGGAAGGGCUCACCUGAAGGGGCGUGGUCCGCGCUGUACAGGGGGUUAAAACCCAGCUCUUUCGGAGCACGCCCAUCCUAUCCCAGUCUCUUGCUUUUGCCCUACCUUGCAACGUGAGCCCUCCCGGCCCCCGUCCAUACUUCCACCUAGGACCCCGUCCCUGCUCAGGCUCGUCUCCAGGUGUUACCCAAAGCUUCUCACUCUCUCGAAUGCCCAAACCUUUAUCCCAGGCCUCCCCGCCCACGCGUCCCCAGCGAACAUACCUGGUCUUUUGCUGCCUGUCGUCACCGCCACCCCAACAGCCGGGCAGGCAUUGCUGUCGCCAUCUUGGAAGCGGGCGCUGCGGGGGCGGGGCCUCGCGUCACGGGGCGGGGCCUCGGGGCUGAGCCACCCGGGCUGACUAGGCACCCGGUCCGAGACACCGUGUGGUCCGCGGCUUGUGCGGGAGCUGCGCCCUAGCCUACCCGCCUCGAACGCGUUGCAGGCGACGCUUUGGGAAGCGGGUGCGAGGGCUCAACUCCACUACGCAGACUGCUAGUGGGAUUUCAUUUCCUGCCCCUCAGAUUUGUAAAAGCAGAACCUCAAGCCAUUCAUUUUCCUCUGGGCCGAGACAGACCAAGAGGCUAGUGAGCCGGUUUCUGGUGCUCCGCUGACCUCGUUAUCACCCGGGGGUUGGCUGAGCCCUCUCCCAGUGUGUCAGUGGCACCCCCUGCAGCCUACUGCCACUUACUAUCAAUAGUUCCUCACGCAGGCUACAGCGUCGCGGACCGCUCUAGAGCAUUUUUGUAUUCCCAUGGUAUCCCGCAGGCCUGGAAAUAAAAAACGAUUAGUUAAUAAAACAAUGAAACAUUGAAUGUG